AUUCAUACAAUUUUAAUUUUUGAUUCAAUUUGCUACUCUUGAUUUUCUGCAAACAUGUCUAUAUGCAACAAAUUCUUUUUUUUUUGCUUUUGUGCAAUGUUGGUGGGCUCGGUCUUGAUUGGAGAUGCAAAUGCAAACAAAGUAAUUGGCAAAGGGGCUAUGGCAGCUAAUCGUGAACUUCCAUGCAAAGGAGGGAAUUGCCUGCCACAACCAUCAAAUCCUGAAAAUAGAGGCUGUGAAACUAUCGAGAGAUGUCGACACUCAUGAGAUUGGUCAUGCUUGAAAAGGCUUCAUUCCCAAUGUUCAUUGUGUAAAAAACUUCUUUAUAAUAAUUCUGGCUAUAUAUUUACGUAUAUGUUCGAGUUUGUAUCUAUGAUAUAUAUGUACUUUUAAACUUUGUAUCUAUGAUAUAUAUGUACUUUUAAACUUGAUUUGAUUCUUUGUAACUAUUUAAUUCUUCAAAUGUGUCUGUUGUAAGAAAUCCUUCUCUUUGGCUUAUGUGCAAUGAAGCAGUGAAGGAAUAUUCCUCCUCCAUGCUGAAAGAGGAGGUAGCCUACCACCUGUCCACCGCCAUGCUAAUCCACCACCAUGCAUCAAGUUGCUUAGGCCUAGAAGAGUACUUUUGCUCAAAUGUUGUUAACAAAUUUUCCUUUGCUAAUUGAUAUACAAUUUUAAUCAAUAAUAAUUGAAUAUUUCAAAUGACAUGAUGUUUAAA
rnacentral:lncRNA from 1 species